rnacentral:rRNA from 1 species
AACGAACGCUGGCGGCGUGGAUAAGACAUGCAAGUCGAACGAAGCUAAUUUUGUAGCAAUACGAGGUUAGUUCAGUGGCGUAAGGGUGCGUAACACGUGAGUCAUCUGCCGGGAAGUGGGGGAUAGCUCGCCGAAAGGCGAAUUAAUACCGCAUGUGAUCGCAAGAUCAAAGCAGCAAUGCGCUUCCUGAUGAGCUCGCGGCCUAUCAGCUAGUUGGUGAGGUAAAGGCUCACCAAGGCUAUGACGGGUAGCUGGUCUGAGAGGACGACCAGCCACACUGGAACUGAGACACGGUCCAGACACCUACGGGUGGCAGCAGUCAAGAAUUUUUCUCAAUGGGGGAAACCCUGAAGGAGCGACGCCGCGUGGAGGAUGAAGGUCUUCGGAUUGUAAACUCCUGUCAUCUGGGAACAAAGCCGCUAGGUGUGAUAGUACCAGAAGAGGAAGAGACGGCUAACUCUGUGCCAGCCGCCGCAGUAA